GACGUAGGGCGCGAGCGUUGUCCGGAUUUAUUGGGCGUAAAGAGCUCGUAGGCGGCUUGUUGCGUCGACCGUGAAAACCCGUGGCUUAACUGCGGGCUUGCGGUGGAUACUGCCGGGCUAGAGGAUGGUAGAGGCGAGUGGAAUUCCCGGUGUAGCGGUGAAAUGCGCAGAUAUCGGGAGGAACACCAGUGGCGAAGGCGGCGAUCUGGGCAGAUACUGACGCUGAGGUGCGAAAGCGUGGGGAGCAAACAGG
rnacentral:rRNA from 1 species